AUUGAACGCUGGCGGCAUGCCUUACACAUGCAAGUCGAACGGCAGCACGGGGCAACCUGGUGGCGAGUGGCGAACGGGUGAGUAAUGCAUCGGAACGUACCUUUCAGUGGGGGAUAACGCAGCGAAAGUUACGCUAAUACCGCAUAUUCUGUGAGCAAGAAAGCAGGGGAUCGCAAGACCUUGCGCUGAUUGAGCGGCCGAUGUCAGAUUAGCUAGUUGGUGAGGUAAAGGCUGACCAAGGCGGCGAUCUGUAGCGGGUCUGAGAGGAUGAUCCGCCACACUGGAACUGAGACACGGUCCAGACUCCUACGGGAGGCAGCAGUGGGGAAUUUUGGACAAUGGGGGCAACCCUGAUCCAGCCAUGCCGCGUGAGUGAAGAAGGCCUUCGGGUUGCAAAGCUCUUUCGGCCGGGAAGAAAUCGCACGGGCUAAUACCCUGUGUGGAUGACGGUACCGGAAUAAGAAGCACCGGCUAACUACGUGGCAGCAGCCGCAGUAAUAC
rnacentral:rRNA from 1 species